rnacentral:rRNA from 1 species
GAUGAACGCUGGCGGCGUGCCUAAUACAUGCAAGUCGAGCGAACAGACGAGGAGCUUGCUCCUCUGACGUUAGCGGCGGACGGGUGAGUAACACGUGGAUAACCUACCUAUAAGACUGGGAUAACUUCGGGAAACCGGAGCUAAUACCGGAUAAUAUAUUGAACCGCAUGGUUCAAUAGUGAAAUACGGUUUUGCUGUCACUUAUAGAUGGAUCCGCGCCGCAUUAGCUAGUUGGUAAGGUAACGGCUUACCAAGGCAACGAUGCGUAGCCGACCUGAGAGGGUGAUCGGCCACACUGGAACUGAGCCACGGUCCAGACUCCUACGGGAGGCAGCAGUAGGGAAUCUUCCGCAAUGGGCGAAAGCCUGACGGAGCAACGCCGCGUGAGUGAUGAAGGUCUUCGGAUCGUAAAACUCUGUUAUUAGGGAAGAACAAAUGUGUAAGUAACUAUGCACGUCUUGACGGUACCUAAUCAGAAAGCCACGGCUAACUACGUG